rnacentral:rRNA from 1 species
UUUAACUGAAGAGUUUGAUCAUGGCUCAGAUUGAACGCUGGCGGCAGGCUUAACACAUGCAAGUCGAGCGGGGGAAGGUAGCUUGCUACCGGACCUAGCGGCGGACGGGUGAGUAAUGCUUAGGAAUCUGCCUAUUAGUGGGGGACAACAUCUCGAAAGGGAUGCUA